GGCAGCGCCGGGGGGAGCGGGACCUGCGGCGGGAAGGGCCGUGAGGUGAGGAAGGCAAAAUGGUGGCAGCGAGGUUGUGCCCAAGAACAGCUGCCCAGAUUCUCCCAGGAUCCACUGAUGCAAGCACAGACAGGAUGCAGUGGGCAAAACAAGCCGCAUAUCUUUAUGCAGAAGGAGAGGGAGAAAAGUGAGAAGCAUCAAGGACUGCUGCCUUAGAGCUGCUGUUGCCAUAGAGCUACUAACGAGAAAAAAACUGCAGCAUGGAUUUCUUCUGCUGCUGAAGAUCCUUAAUGAGAAGAGAACCAGUGAAAGGGAAACGAGAAGGUCACUCAGAUUUGGAGAAGGGUUGUAGCCCAAUGUGCCCUUGCAAACAGAGUGUGACUGUGUAAGGGCCCUGAGAGCUUCCCUAUCCCACAGGUUUGGCUGCUGGGGCUCAGGGUCAGCGCAGCGAGAGCACAGCCGGGGCUGUUCCAAAGGAAACUGAGAACUCCAAAGAUGAAGAUU